GCAAUGUGAAAAUACUCCAAAAAACUCUCAAACAACAAAUCUCAAAAAAGAUCAUGGCAAUGUGAAAAUACUCCAAACAACAAAUCCUUGCACAGGAGAAAAUACUAAAUCUUCGUACAAGAGGAGACACCAAAUACUCUCAAAAAAUGAGAUAAAACUUAGAUUUAUUAAUAAGAAUAGACUGUGAAUAAAUAUAGAUUUAUCUCAAAAGAAUACUGACUUGGAGAUUAUUGAGAAAAAUAUAUAAAAAAUAAAGAAAGAAAAAGGAGAGGUAUAACCAUAUGUGAAAAUACUCCAAAA
rnacentral:misc_RNA from 1 species